GCGCAUGCGCGUCCUGGCCUGCGAAUUGUAUUUUUCUCGCCGACUCCCGGCGCCAUUUUGUGCGCUGCUCAGUCACGUCGUCGGCUCCUUUCGCUUGGGGGGGCCGGAGCGGCUGUGGUGGAGGCGCUGCCUGGUCUGUGGUGGCACAGCCUCUUCGGUAGCCACCACUGAGAUCAACAGCGAGCUGUGGAUGGGCCUGUACCUUCUCGGUUGAUGAAAGGACACAUAGAGGGACUUGAAGAUAAUGAAGAAACCCUGAUCUACAUCUGAGGAGCCAUCGCUAACUCUUACCGAGUCGUUCAUUACAAGUUGAAAUCACAAAUCCUUGCUCUGCGGUUCUGCUCUGACAGGCAGCGGCUCUCCAGGGUCUCGGGAAGAGGUCUUUCACACCGCCUACUACCAGAUUCCUUUAACUGGAUAUAUCCCCCUCUUCUAAAGAUGCAGUUUCUGAGGACUCGCCUCCUGCAAACCUUACGUUUCAACAGCGAUUCAUGUUCUGUCUUGAGCUGGCCGACUUCCCUUUCUAGUGCGGCGUGUUCAGAUUUCAGCACAAGCAUCUGGAUAUUUUGUAAAAUCCCACUUGGCUGGACGUGAUUGUUGCAUCCUGCUCUGCACAGGUCUUCUCUUAGGUUUCUUAACCGCCCCUCCCUGUGAUCUCCAGGGGCUGCUGGGUUUGCUAGUUCCCGGUUUAAAAAAAAAAAAAUCUGGACUGUUUCAUUAAUGUCGCAUCAGCUACAGCAAGUUGCAUUUUGAGAUCCUCAGUCUCUUCCUUGUACAGUUCAGCACCUUUGUUAAGCUGGGCCGAUUUCAAGCGUCUGCCAACGCCGGAGGGGAAAAACCGCGCUGAGCCGAAUCGUGCAGAGCUGAUGGAAUCCAGAAGAAGGUGAGCAGAGGCGAGGGAAGCCGAAUUGGACCAGAUCCGAUCCAAGGGAGGCUGAGCCACGUGGAGCCGAAGAUCCAAGGAAGAUCGCGCUCGGUAACGUGCUUGGGCCAAGCAAUGAUGUGGCGGUUCCAGGAGAAGAAAUCAGCAUUCCCCAAGGCUGGAAUCUUCGCGAGCCCCUGCUUGUAGCAGUGAAUUAGAACGAAGCACCAGCUAAAUCCUGUGCGUCAUGGGCCAUCAUCAUUUUACCUGACUCAUCAUCGCAACCUGUCCGAUGCGAGGCUUCCCCGGUAUCUAAGUAUUGGAUAUAAUC